GAUGAACGCUGGCGGCGUGCCUAAUACAUGCAAGUCGAGCGAACAGACGAGGAGCUUGCUCCUCUGACGUUAGCGGCGGACGGGUGAGUAACACGUGGUUAACCUACCUAUAAGACUGGGAUAACUUCGGGAAACCGGAGCUAAUACCGGAUAAUAUAUUGAACCGCAUGGUUCAAUAGUGAAAGACGGUUUUGCCGUCACUUAUAGAUGGAUCCGCGCCGCAUUAGCUAGUUGGUAAGGUAACGGCUUACCAAGGCAACGAUGCGUAGCCGACCUGAGAGGGUGAUCGGCCACACUGGAACUGAGACACGGUCCAGACUCCUACGGGAGGCAGCAGUAGGGAAUCUUCCGCAAUGGGCGAAAGCCUGACGGAGCAACGCCGCGUGAGUGAUGAAGGUCUUCGGAUCGUAAAACUCUGUUAUUAGGGAAGAACAAAUGUGUAAGUAACUAUGCACGUCUUGACGGUACCUAAUCAGAAAGCCACGGCUAACUACGUGCCAGCCGCCGCAGUAA
rnacentral:rRNA from 1 species